CCUACGGGUGGCAGCAGUGGGGGAUAUUGCACAAUGGGGGGAACCCUGAUGCAGCGACGCCGCGUGGGUGAAGGAGUGCUUCGGCAUGUAAAGCCCUAUCGGCAGGGAAGAAGCAAGACGGUACCUGACUAAGAAGCCCCGGCUAACUACGUGCCAGCAGCCGCGGUAAUACGUAGGGGGCGAGCGUUAUCCGGAUUCACUGGGUGUAAAGGGAGCGUAGACGGCCAUGCAAGCCAGGGGGGAAAGCCCGGGGCCCAACCCCGGGACUGCCCUUGGAACUGGGCGGCUAGAGUGCGGGAGGGGCAGGCGGAAUGCGUGGUGUAGCGGUGAAAUGCGUAGAUAUCAGGAGGAACACCGGCGGCGAAGGCGGCCUGCUGGACUGCGACUGACGUUGAGGCUCGAAAGCGUGGGGAGCGAACAGGAUUAGAUACCCUAGUAGUC
rnacentral:rRNA from 1 species